GUUGUGCUGUCAUAUACCUCAGCGUAUUCGAUUUACGGUCACCAUAGCAAACGUGUUACCCGUCCCUUCCCUGCUGCUACGAACUACGGAUUAAUAAAAAUAUAAAUUCAAGGCAAAAACCUCUCUGCGAAGUUGAAAACUGAUGACGUGAGGACGACGUGUGAUUUAGAGGGACUUUAUAUGAUGACCAAAAACAGGAUAAUGCAUCCCACGUUGGCUGAACACCUCUUCGUGGGUCGAUGGAAUCCUAAGAGACGCACAAUGCCAUCUACCCUACAAAACAUCGCUCAGAAACACCCAUUUGUCCCAUAACGAAGAGUCAAAACAUCAUACACCAUUGGAGCCCAGGCGAGUAAAGACAGCUCAAAAUUCGCAAGGCAUCAAAUAUUGCAACGCUGGCGGAUAACACCGAGGAAAUUUGAUAUAUUUAUGAUAUUUGGCUUUUAAUUUUUGAUGUGUAACCAAGGAUCGAUUGCUGA